AAGUGUCCAGGGAUGGGAAUCGAACCCACAGUGUUCCGCUUACCGGGCAGAUGCCAUGUCCACUAGGCUACUGUACU
rnacentral:tRNA from 1 species